rnacentral:rRNA from 1 species
AGACGGGGGGUGCUAGCGUUGUUCGGAAUUACUGGGCGUAAAGGGCGCGUAGGCGGCUCUGCGAGUCGGGCGUGAAAUCCCGGGGCUCAACCCCGGAACGGCGCUCGAUACUGCGGGGCUGGAGACCGGAAGAGGAGGGUGGAAUUCCCAGUGUAGAGGUGAAAUUCGUAGAUAUUGGGAGGAACACCGGUGGCGAAAGCGGCUCUCUGGUCCGGUUCUGACGCUGAGGCGCGAAAGCGUGGGGAGCAAACAGGAUUAGAAACCCCGGUAGUCC